GGAGAAGUGCAUGUAGAACAUGUGGUUGAGACAACAUACUUGUGCUCUCCAUAGGAGGAAGGGUAAGAGAAGAGAGGAUCCUGAAUUGGAUCCAAAGGGGAAGAUCUGAAUAAGCAUUUGGAUUGAGAGAGAAUGGUGUAGAGAGCGAGGAAAAGAGUUGUGAAGAGGUAUACCAGAGAAAAACAGAGGAGCUUGGAUUGGAAGAUUAGAGGUUUGGUAGUGGUAAAGCCAUUUUUGAUGUGUUUUGAUGUGAGAAUGCAGACAGUAACUUGUGUCUUUGCUAGCUGCAAGCCUUCCAGGCAAUGCUACUUUCUUCUUGACCUAUGUGGCUCUCAAAUUUUUUGUUGGCUAUGGUCUUGAGCUGUCCCGGUUAGUUCCUC